CCAGGACUGCACUUACUUAUGGGAAGGAGUAUUUGCUAGAUGGAACCUGGGAACUGGAAGACGACGAAGAAGAAGCGUGGGAAUCUGGCAGCAAUGGCUGGGAUGUAAGUCCAACAUUGCUGGUGCUAGAGUUGCCACUGCUUGCUUAUAAGGGAAUCAUGUGUGUUGCCCUUUUUUGCCUUUUCCGACGUCCUCCUCCGACUGUACUCCCAGGACUGAACUUACGGGAAGGAGUGCUUCCAAGAUGGGAGACGAAGAAGAAGAAGCCGCUGAUGGCAAUGGCUGGGAUGCUGCGUUCUCGAGAAGAAGCGUUAUUUCUGCAUUCCAAGAAGGACGGCACAAUGUGUCGGACUGUCCGCGUCGCAUUGAACUGGUCCGAUGAGGCUGCUAUUGCACACACAGUGAGGGAACUCUCAUACGGGAACUCGGAAGUACUGCUACAGUACAGGUAUAUCAUCCCGUGACGACCACAUUGAAGUCUGAAUUUGAAGUGUGAAGAUGCUUCAGCAACCCCUUCAUUUUUUCCAUUGCUUUUAUUGUGCUGCUACUGUGCAUGUGAUGACAACGUAUACCGGUGACACGGUCAGAUUUUGUCCAUGCGUGUAACGUACACCUGCAUGCUAUCGUUGAAAAGGAUCUGCCACUUACGAUCUUCGGACGAGUAUCAGGUCAGCUUGGUUUGUGUGGGCUGUACCAGAUGCUGUUCACUUCUCUAUCUGUUGGAUAUGUGACUUUCUGCAAGUUUCUGGUGUAUGGUGGCCACUUCUUUGCUUGUCUUUGUAUGACAUUACAAUCAUUCUGCACUCACUGCUUCCAUGGUGUGGUCUGCAAACUGCAAUCCUUACGCAAAUAUCAUCACGGUUUGCAAUGUUGUGCUUUGGCUGCCAGCUUACCUUUAUUUUGUUUCACAACUGACUUCCUGAAGUAUGGUGGCCACUG